GGGUUGUGAGGUUAAGCGACUAAGCGUACACGGUGGAUGCCCUGGCAGUCAGAGGCGAUGAAGGACGUGCUAAUCUGCGAAAAGCGUCGGUAAGGUGAUAUGAACCGUUACAGCCGGCGAUGUCCGAAUGGGGAAACCCAGUGUGAUUCGUCACACUAUCGUUAACUGAAUACAUAGGUUAACGAGGCGAACCGGGGGAACUGAAACAUCUAAGUACCCCGAGGAAAAGAAAUCAACCGAGAUUCCCCCAGUAGCGGCGAGCGAACGGGGAGCAGCCCAGAGUCUGAAUCAGCUUGUGUGUUAGUGGAACGGUCUGGAAAGUCCGACGGUACAGGGUGAUAGUCCCGUACACCAAAAUGCACAGGUUGUGAACUCGAAGAGUAGGGCGGGACACGUGGUAUCCUGUCUGAAUAUGGGGGGACCAUCCUCCAAGGCUAAAUACUCCUGACUGACCGAUAGUGAACCAGUACCGUGAGGGAAAGGCGAAAAGAACCCCGGCGAGGGGAGUGAAAAAGAACCUGAAACCGUGUACGUACAAGCAGUGGGAGCACCCUUUAUGGUGUGACUGCGUACCUUUUGUAUAAUGGGUCAGCGACUUAUAUUCUGUAGCAAGGUUAACCGUAUAGGGGAGCCGCAGGGAAACCGAGUCUUAACUGGGCGUUAAGUUGCAGGGUAUAGACCCGAAACCCGGUGAUCUAGCCAUGGGCAGGUUGAAGGUUGGGUAACACUAACUGGAGGACCGAACCGACUAAUGUUGAAAAAUUAGCGGAUGACUUGUGGCUGGGGGUGAAAGGCCAAUCAAACCGGGAGAUAGCUGGUUCUCCCCGAAAGCUAUUUAGGUAGCGCCUCGUGAACUCAUCUUCGGGGGUAGAGCACUGUUUCGGCUAGGGGGUCAUCCCGACUUACCAACCCGAUGCAAACUACGAAUACCGAAGAAUGUUAUCACGGGAGACACACGGCGGGUGCUAACGUCCGUCGUGAAGAGGGAAACAACCCAGACCGCCAGCUAAGGUCCCAAAGUCACAGUUAAGUGGGAAACGAUGUGGGAAGGCACAGACAGCCAGGAUGUUGGCUUAGAAGCAGCCAUCAUUUAAAGAAAGCGUAAUAGCUCACUGGUCGAGUCGGCCUGCGCGGAAGAUGUAACGGGGCUAAACUGUGCACCGAAGCUGCGGCAGCGACACUUAGGUGUUGUUGGGUAGGGGAGCGUUCUGUAAGCCUGCGAAGGUGGCCUGUGAGGGUUGCUGGAGGUAUCAGAAGUGCGAAUGCUGACAUAAGUAACGAUAAUGCGGGUGAAAAGCCCGCACGCCGGAAGACCAAGGGUUCCUGUCCAACGUUAAUCGGGGCAGGGUGAGUCGACCCCUAAGGCGAGGCCGAAAGGCGUAGUCGAUGGGAAACAGGUUAAUAUUCCUGUACUUGGUGUUACUGCGAAGGGGGGACGGAGAAGGCUAUGUUAGCCGGGCGACGGUUGUCCCGGUUUAAGCAUGUAGGCGGAGGUUCCAGGUAAAUCCGGUACCUUUUUAACGCUGAGGUGUGAUGACGAGGCACUACGGUGCUGAAGUAACAAAUGCCCUGCUUCCAGGAAAAGCCUCUAAGCAUCAGGUAACAUUAAAUCGUACCCCAAACCGACACAGGUGGUCAGGUAGAGAAUACCAAGGCGCUUGAGAGAACUCGGGUGAAGGAACUAGGCAAAAUGGUGCCGUAACUUCGGGAGAAGGCACGCUGAUAUGUAGGUGAAGCCCCUGCGGGUGGAGCUGAAAUCAGUCGAAGAUACCAGCUGGCUGCAACUGUUUAUUAAAAACACAGCACUGUGCAAACACGAAAGUGGACGUAUACGGUGUGACGCCUGCCCGGUGCCGGAAGGUUAAUUGAUGGGGUUAUCCGUAAGGAGAAGCUCUUGAUCGAAGCCCCGGUAAACGGCGGCCGUAACUAUAACGGUCCUAAGGUAGCGAAAUUCCUUGUCGGGUAAGUUCCGACCUGCACGAAUGGCGUAAUGAUGGCCAGGCUGUCUCCACCCGAGACUCAGUGAAAUUGAACUCGCUGUGAAGAUGCAGUGUACCCGCGGCAAGACGGAAAGACCCCGUGAACCUUUACUAUAGCUUGACACUGAACAUUGAGCCUUGAUGUGUAGGAUAGGUGGGAGGCUUUGAAGCGUGGACGCCAGUCUGCGUGGAGCCAACCUUGAAAUACCACCCUUUAAUGUUUGAUGUUCUAACGUUGGCCCCUUAUCGGGGUUGCGGACAGUGUCUGGUGGGUAGUUUGACUGGGGCGGUCUCCUCCCAAAGAGUAACGGAGGAGCACGAAGGUUAGCUAAUCCUGGUCGGACAUCAGGAGGUUAGUGCAAUGGCAUAAGCUAGCUUGACUGCGAGCGUGACGGCGCGAGCAGGUGCGAAAGCAGGUCAUAGUGAUCCGGUGGUUCUGAAUGGAAGGGCCAUCGCUCAACGGAUAAAAGGUACUCCGGGGAUAACAGGCUGAUACCGCCCAAGAGUUCAUAUCGACGGCGGUGUUUGGCACCUCGAUGUCGGCUCAUCACAUCCUGGGGCUGAAGUAGGUCCCAAGGGUAUGGCUGUUCGCCAUUUAAAGUGGUACGCGAGCUGGGUUUAGAACGUCGUGAGACAGUUCGGUCCCUAUCUGCCGUGGGCGCUGGAGAAUUGAGGGGGGCUGCUCCUAGUACGAGAGGACCGGAGUGGACGCAUCACUGGUGUUCGGGUUGUCAUGCCAAUGGCAUUGCCCGGUAGCUAAAUGCGGAAGAGAUAAGUGCUGAAAGCAUCUAAGCACGAAACUUGCCCCGAGAUGAGUUCUCCCUGAGACUUUAAGUCUCCUGAAGGAACGUUAAAGACGAUGACGUUGAUAGGUCGGGUGUGUAAGCGUAGCGAUACGUUGAGCUAACCGAUACUAAUGAACCGUGAGGCUUAACCUUACAACGCCGAAG
rnacentral:rRNA from 1 species